AGAGUUUGAUCCUGGCUCAGGACGAACGCUGGCGGCGCGCCUAACACAUGCAAGUCGAACGAGCGAGAGAGAGCUUGCUUUCUCGAGCGAGUGGCGGACGGGUGAGUAACGCGUGAGGAACCUGCCUCAAAGAGGGGGACAACAGUUGGAAACGACUGCUAAUACCGCAUAAGCCCACGGCUCGGCAUCGAGCAGGGGGAAAAGGAGCAAUCCGCUUUGAGAUGGCCUCGCGUCCGAUUAGCUAGUUGGUGAGGUAACGGCCCACCAAGGCGACGAUCGGUAGCCGGACUGAGAGGUUGAACGGCCACAUUGGGACUGAGACACGGCCCAGACUCAUACGGGAGGCAGCA
rnacentral:rRNA from 1 species